CUACGACCAUAUCACGUUGAAAACAUUGGUUCUCGUCCGAUCACCAGUUGGGUUAAACGUCGAGCUCGGUUAGUACUUGGAUGGGUGACCGCCUGGGAAUACCUGCGUUGCAG
rnacentral:rRNA from 1 species